AACGAACGCUGGCGGCGCGUCUUAAGCAUGCAAGUCGGACGGUAAGGAAGGAGCCUGCUUCUUCCCUAGAGUGGCGGACUGGUGAGGAACGCGUGGGUGACGCACCCUCCGGACGGGGAUAGCCGGUAGAAAUACCGGGUAAUACCGGAUAAGAGCGCCUCCUUGGAGGGAGGCGGAGAAAGCGGCUUCGGCCGCGCCGGAGGAACGGCCCGCGUGCUAUUAGCUAGUUGGCGGGGUAACGGCCCACCAAGGCGACGAUAGCUAUCCGGCCUGAGAGGGUGAACGGACACAUUGGGACUGAGAUACGGCCCAGACUCCUACGGGAGGCAGCAGCUAAGAAUAUUCCGCAAUGGGGGAAACCCUGACGGAGCGACGCCGCGUGGAUGAUGAAGGCCGGAAGGUUGUAAAGUCCUUUUGGGCGCAAAGAAUAAGUACGCGAGGAAAUGCGCGUGCGGUGACGGUAGCGCCUGAAUAAGCAACGGCUAAUUACGUG
rnacentral:rRNA from 1 species